CACGUCUGGGGGUGGGCGUGUAUUCCUUUCCGAUUGGCCAUGCAAGUGACGUCACAUGUCGACAAAUUCCCUUCUCGUUGAAGAAAUGGAGAACAAUGAUGGAGUUCUAUGGAGACCACCACGUAGCUGUAGUGAAUACUGGAGUGAGUUUAAACACUGUAAAAGCUUGAGGAACCGUUUUCAACACUACUAUGCCCAUGGUACAUCACCGUCCUGCCAACAGUGGAAGGAGGACUACGACAUGUGCACAACAUGGGAGAAAUGCAAGGAUCAAGGAGCCAAGGAGGCACUACGGAGCAGUGAAAGGAGCAGGUUGGCAGAGCAGAAGAAAUUUACUCCAGUUUGGGAACUAAGAAGAGUCCCUCCAAAGGACUGGCAUAUGCCUCUCAACCAUGAAAGGCCUCAGGAUUCUUGAACAUUUGUGAAAAUGUAUUUUCACUAUUGUGGCCAAAAUACAUGUCAGAUAUUCCUUUAUGUAUACCUCCACUAUAAUAUUUAUGAAGUAUGACUACCACCACCCAGGGUAACCCUGUGGGCUAUGAGGUUUUAAAUAUUAUACUAAAUUCAUAUAAAAUAAAAGCAUAUUUUACCUCAAUUAA